rnacentral:rRNA from 1 species
UACGUAGGUGGCAAGCGUUGUCCGGAAUUACUGGGUGUAAAGCGCGUGUAGGCGGCAGACCAAGUCGGCGGUGAAAGCGCCCGGCUCAACUGGGCGAGGUCCGUGGAAACUGGUCAGCUGGAGGACGGUAGAGGCGAGUGGAAUUCCCGGUGUAGUGGUGAAAUGCGUAGAGAUCGGGAGGAACACCCGUGGCUAAGGCGGCUCUCUAGUACGUGGACUGACGCUGAGACGCGAAAGCGUGGGGAGCGAACAGG